CAGCAGCCGCGGUAAUACGGAGGGUGCAAGCGUUAAUCGGAAUUACUGGGCGUAAAGCGCACGCAGGCGGUCUGACAAGUCAGAUGUGAAAUCCCCGGGCUUAACCUGGGAACUGCAUUUGAAACUGUCAGGCUGGAGUCUUGUAGAGGGGGGUAGAAUUCCAGGUGUAGCGGUGAAAUGCGUAGAGAUCUGGAGGAAUACCGGUGGCGAAGGCGGCCCCCUGGACAAAGACUGACGCUCAGGUGCGAAAGCGUGGGGAGCAAACAGGAUUAGAUACCCCUGUAGUCCCUGUCUCUUAUAC
rnacentral:rRNA from 1 species